GCAUGUUGAACAUGUGGUUCCAGAGGAAGUCUGACGAGUACUUGCUAGAAUUCGAUGACGAUGAAGAAGACGGAGCAUUACCUCAAAGAACAGUGCCAUUUCACAAAGUGGUAGCUUUACCAGAAGGCCAUCGCCAGUGAAUUUCAGAUGGAUACAAUAAAAUAAGACUAACUAUUUGGGUGCCAAAAGCAUAAGUUAAGAGCUGUUGUCCCUGUUUGUAGUUCACAUGAGAUGAUUUUGAAGACUAAAAAGGUAAUUUUUUUUACUUUUUACUAUUCAAUUUGGGGCGAAGCUACUCUAGUAAAAAGUAUGGGAUGUGUAUAUAUAUAUAUGAGACCAUGGAUAUGUAUCAUAUUAAGACACAAUUUAUAAAAGUUACAUUUGUAUGAUUACAAGUUUCUGUGAGAUA